UGUUGCUGCCUGAUCGCUGCACAGAGGUCCUGCCGCUGCCGGGCAUCUAAAUGCUCCAGGAGGCUGUCUUCCUGCCUAACAGUGAGUUGGCAGAUGGGUGCCUCAAGCACACCGUCUGUAUCGUUGACUAGGGAACCCUCCGUCUUUCCAGGAUCCCCAGCACCGAGUUAGCACAAUUAGUCCCCCAUGCACACGCAGGAUUGCUGUGUGUAAAGGGAUUUCCCUUUGUACUUGCCGCAUACUGGCUUUCAUUUAGUCGAACAAGCGGUUCGGUAGGUUAACCCCCCCAACGUGCAGGCAACUUAGUAAUCAUAAUAAGGAAUAAGGGUUAAGAUAUAGGCUGACGAUCUGCAUGUUUAUUGUUGGAUUGCACACUCCUUUCCCCUCCCUCCUGGUAAACAAACUUCCCGGUUGUUCGGUUACAUCAAAUAUACCAGGUCACUCUAAUUACUUGCUUAAUUUUUUUCCCCUACUUCAAUUCUUUUAAGCAUGGCCUAUACCACUGGAAUAUACAACAGAUAGUUAUUGCAACCCACUUUGCACCAAUUUGGGUUUUGGGCACGAGUCACAUUGUCUGGUUGUCUCUGCACAGGCUCGAAUACAAUGUCUGUCAGACAGUCCCCCAAAACUGCAAUAAAGUAACAAAAAAAUAUUAGCACACUUAAUUAAUAAAAUCUAUUUAGAAGGUAUAUAUUUAUGGUCUAAGUACAUAUGUAUAGACACAUACACACUUUAAUUUUAAGCAUAUUUUAUUAUUACUUUAUAUAUGUUAUUAUAGACACUUAAGGGUGUUGCAUUGACAUUGUCCACAUAUCCUUUUCUCCAAGUUAUAAGUCUGGCCCCAAGAACUGAAGCUGCCAUUUUAAGUCUUGUCUAAAAACUUGCUAGGUAGGCAGUUACUCCUUUGAGAUACUAUUGGGUUACGGUUAAAUUCUUUGACUCAGACAUGAUUCUCCCUUCCACAUACCCUUAGGUGCCCCACUUACUACUGAACCUUCAAAUCCUGGGCAUACGAAUUCAAUUAAGUUCACACAGGUACGUUCGCCAGUUAGCUCAUACUGGAAUUUCCCUGUUUCUAGCAGUCCUUUAGACCAGAGGAAUGGCUGGCUAUUAAGGAAAUUAGGUUCCAUAUUUAGCUUUCUAAAGGCCUUCUUUUCCCAUCCUCUGGUAUUCGGCCCUCGGUCCAACGCAUACAUAGCCGCCUCGCAAGUUACACAGAGAGGGCCUUGUAACGGAUCGCCUGGCACCCCGACUGGGUACCUCCGUUGAAGGAUGCUCCUAACGCUUCCUGAGGACUCCAAGCACUGCAGCAGACACCAAAACCACCGAACCGUAGGAACAAAUAAAUUCUCCCACGCAUAUGAAUGCUGUAGACAGUUGAAUAGGAAACCAUGCGAAUAGGUUUACUCUCCUAGCAGUCAAACUGGAACAGCAUACAAUAAAUCCUUCCCCCAAUAAUGAGACGACACUUCACUUUGAGGGUUAAAACAGGAACUCCCUGUACUGUCACAUACAGUCUCUACCUGCCAUCGGUGGGUCUUCCCAGGACCAGUCUAUGAGGUCCCCUACUUCUGCAGCUGGUAGUGAAGCAGGAGGUACCUUGGCUGCGUUUUCCCAGCUGUAGGUUGGCAGGUCUGGGUCCGCCAGCCAGUUUUCCUGUUCUGUGUUCAUGCCCUGUGGCUGACAUGAGUUUAGUAGUUCCACAUAGUCCAUCUCUAGCUGUCGUUCCAUGGCAGCCAAACGGUGGAGGUCUUGUCCCAGUCCCAUAGAUCUCGGGCCCUGUACCAUCUCACCCCGGUAAUAAAAGAUAGCCCAGUACCGUGACUCUGCUGGACUGCCAAAGUCGACGUCUUCUGCUAAGGCCUUCCACAACAGGCCAGGGCUAGUGUAGUUCUCCCCCUCCGGCUGGAUGCCCUCUGCCCUCCACGUCUCUGGCUGGACAGUGCACCACCACAGUGCCCGGUAUGAGGCGUCAAGGCUCAGUUCCCUUUCCACGAGGUACUCAAGUUGUCUGACCUGCUGCCCUCCGGGUUGGUCUCCCAGAAGCGGCAUCCGCCAGGCCAUUUGUUCCUCCAACUGGUAUGCGACACCAGGAAGGCGCUGCUGCCGUUGAUACUGGACUUCCUCCAGGGCAUCGUACCAUAGUUCUUGCCGGGCAAUAUCUCUCCAUUCCAAUUCACUCUCUUCCUCAGGUGUGCGUGUUGCCCAAGGAUCCACGAACCCCAUUUUCCCAAAUCUCUAUGUAGACAGGGACGCUGUAUAAACACUAGCGUCGCCUUCAAUUUGUAAAUCCAAACGAACUGUGUCUCUGAGCUGCUUUACCUUGCACUAGGACGCCAUCCCACCGCUUGCCACCAAUGUAACGGAUCGCCUGGCACCCCGACUGGGUACCUCCGUUGAAGGAUGCUCCUAGCGCUUCCUGAGGACUCCAAGCACUGCAGCAGACACCACAACCACCGAACCGGAGAAACAAAUAAAUUCUCCCAAGCAUAUGAAUGCUGUAGACAGUUGAAUAGGAAACCAUGCGAAUAGGUUUACUCUCCUAGCAGUCAAACUGGAACAGCAUACAAUAAAUCCUUCCCCCAAUAAUGAGACGACACUUCACUUUGAGGGUUAAAACAGGAACUCCCUGUACUGUCACAUACAGUCUCUUUUAUUCCCAAUCCACAAACAUAGUACAGCCCACAGGGCGUUACAAAACAACCAAUCAAUCCGUAUAAUACACCCAGACACUCCCACACAAAAUCCUCCCCUCUGCAUGUGAUAUGAUUACUGAACACAAUGGGUAAUCUCAUUAUCACCGGCAGAGGAAUACAGUUUUUACACAAUAUUUAUAACUUCUAAAAUAUACAUGUCACAAACAUAAAACAUACAUUUUCAUAAUCAAUCCAUUCAGGGAACAACAUAUUAAAAAAUGGCACGAAUCAGACCAGGGGUUCAAAAGUUAAGGGAAAGUCCUUUGUGACUAAAUGAAGCAUGGCUUUCUGGCCCAAACCAGUUUCAGAGUCUUCUAUCCUGGAGAUUGAAUUGAGAAGUAAUUCAAUUAUCUCCCAGGACAGACACAAGACUCCAUUAAGCACAUGGUUGCAAAAAGACACAAAACACUUUAAAAUACAUAAAGUCACCUUUUACACAUAAGACACAGACAUUUCACAUAUCCCCAGAUAGCUGGGAUCUGAGCGCACAAAACUACCGAAUAGCGCUCAGAUCCUAUUCACACAGUUCAAUUGCCAUGGAGCCGAAGUCUUUAACUACACGAAUGGGCUCCAUGGCAUAGCUAUCUGGGUUAACACAUUCACAUAAAGUCUGGUCCAUAGUCCAAAGGCAAGAGGCGGGCAAGGAGCCCCCUCCAAGGACACGUGGCGAGGCCGGUUUCGCCACAGGCCUCAAUUGUCAUUCCCAACUGUAUUUUUCUUUUAAAUUGCCACAAUGCUCCGUGCUAAUAGGCCCGCGAUUCAACUCAUAGAUGGAGCCUCUCAAGCUGCUUGGCUUUAGCAGGGCAUCACCUGUCACCACAUAGUGAAUAUUUUUGGAACUAAUUAGCAGACAGUACCCUAGGUGACAAGGUCUUAAUUUCCAAUUCUCAUUAUUUUUAGUAUGUCACAAGUUUCAGAGGGAGGAGAUGAUCUUUCACUCCCUAGCACCCCAGUUCACCAUCGGGGAGACGUGAAUCAGCCAGUCCAUCAUAUAUUAGAUCUUGGACAAUACCACGUAUUCAACUUGAUCUCAGAAGAAGUAUUCAAUUCCUGGCUACAGCCAGGAAAGCUGUUUUGUUUAGACUAAUGCAGACUUACACAGGCAGCGCAUGGGAAGGGUCUAGCGGAAACAUCAACCCGCCGGACUUACAAACUAUGAUGAAUUCUCUCCUAUCAUCCAUUGGUCAAAUUAGAGAUAGGAUCAAGUCAGGCCAUUAGAGAUAGAUUAGAGUCGGGCCACUUGGCAAUGAACCCAACUUUGUCAGAUGCUACAUCUCUAGCAGCUGCUACAGCUAUUUUACAGGGUAAUGAAGCAGUCCCCAUAUCCACAAUUGAUACCCUCAUGAUAACACCAGCCCAUAUGGUGCCACCUCAGAUCCACAAAGAUAUCCUGGAAGGUAAGAAUGUGAACUUGGUUUCCUUCUUAUUGCUUCCCAAGAUAUUGUGGUGUAUAAGACGUAUGCUUGUGGGAACUUAUCUGUGGUCCUCAAGGCUAGAGAUCCCAGACUCAGUAAAAAAACUUACAAUUCCCAAAUUCGUACUGGCAUUUGGGAUCUAUAGGGAUGUGGUGUGUACUAAUUUGCCACAUAGGAGAGAAGAAUUUGACACUUAUAUGCAUAAGCUGGUGGACCUGGGGCACAAGUACGGUGGAUACGCCUUUUAUGAUUAUCAUAGGUCAUUCUCGGCCAAAGCAGCGGCAACUCUGGCCCAGUUUAAUACAGUCAUUAAUUGGAGUAAACUGGACACAGAGUUGUUCUGUAGGCGUUUCGCCGGCCUGAGGACACCAGCCUGUGCUUGGUGUUCGUCAACCUCCCUCGCGACUAACCUUUGCCCCAUUGACACCUCAGUUUUGGGCCAACAACCCCCUGGUUUACCAGCCAGAUCUGAGAAUGUCAUUAAAGAUAAGCUUGCCAGACCAAUUGUGUUCCUUGGGAAAUCCCAAAUAUGUAAUAAUUUUAAUGCGGGUGCUUGUGGGUUUAGUGCCUGUAGGUUAUUACAUAUCUGUAUGCAAUGUUUCCGAGCACAUUCUAAGAUAAUGUGCCCCAAUAAACUACAUCCCAAACAGUAUUUCACAUCUGUUAAUAUUAAUAUUAUAUUAUUAUUAAGUUGCCUCAACUGUUAACGUCACACCAUCUCCACAAUUAGUGGAUUUCUUGAUUUCAGGGUUUUCACACGGUUUCCACACUGGCAUUUUGGCCUUACCUACUGGUAUUACAGAAUGUAAAAACUUGCAGUCAGCCAUCAAUGACCCAGGUUCAGGAGACAAACUUUUACUACACGAAUUGGAUCAAGGGUUCAUCCUAGGCCCAUUUCCCACACCUCCCUUUGCUAUUUGGCAGACGAAUCCAUUAUGUGUUGUCACGGGGAAACCUUUUUUUAAAGAGGCUGAUUAUCGAUCUUUCCGCACCUGACUCCUCCAACAUCCCCAGUUUAAAUUCUUCAAUUCCAUCCGAGGAAUUCUCUCUACAAUAUACCACGAUAGACAAUGCAGUCCAAGCAAUCAUAUCAGCCAGCGUUGGGGCAUGGUUAGGUAAGACCGACAUUGUAAAUGCCUUUAAAAUACCCCCAGCUCAUCCUUCUCUAUGGCAUCUUUAUCGUGUUAAGUGGAGAAACCAGUAUUAUAUUUUCAAUAGGCUGACGUACGGUUAAAACAGUAGCCCCAAAUUUUUUUUAUACCCUUGCCGAAACCUUAUGCUGGUUGCUUCUUAAUUCAUGUAGAUGUCCAUCAGUACUUAACUAUUUAGACAAUUUUCUCAUCAUAGAGUGUAAUGAUAAUCCACCACGUAGUCUACAGGAUACCAUACAGCUGUUUGAAAAGUUUGGGUGUCCAGGUUUCGCCUUCCAAAACAGAAUAUCCCGACACCACAGUCAGUUUUCUUGGCAUUCAACUAGACUCCAUGGCUAUGGAAUCCGUCUUACCAAGGGAUAAAACUGAACGUAUACUAGCAGAUAUUGAUGAUUACUUACGACUGUGUUCCUGUAGCCGUAAGGAAUUACAAUCAUUGCUUGGAUCGUUAAAUGUUGCGAUGAGAAUAAUCCCUCAGGGCAGGUCAUUCAUUUCACGGUUUCUAUGUUUAUUACCAUGUCUUCCCUCCGAAGAUAGCAGAGUUUCCCUUGAUUACCAGGCCACAGCAGAUUUACAGAUGUGGCAGAAAUUCCUGUCAGUGGAAUGGAAAAUAUAUGUUCAUCCCUCGUAUUUCAUACAAUUCUCCAAUGCUCUGGUCAGAUGCAGUGGCUUCCACUGGCUUUGCAGCUAUUUGUGGUGACCAAUGGCUGUGGGGCUAAUGGCAUCCCGAAACCGAUGCUUUUAAGGCCUUUAAUCCGACUUCAGCAUUAUUUGAAAUUUAUCCUAUUGUAGCCGCAGCAGCGGCCUGGGGACACUCUUGGUCUGGACAAACAGUACGGUGGUUUUCUGACAUUCAAGCGGCAUGCCAUAUCACUAAAAAGGGUCGUUCCCCUUCUCUCAUUAUCAUUAGACACUUAACUCGGUUAGCUGCUACUCAUCAAUUCUUUAUCUGGAGUACACAUGUUCCCGGUAGUCACAACAUGGCGGCUGACCAUUUAUCUCGCUUCCAUUUUCAGGAAUUCCUCUAACUCUACCCCAGUGCCUCUCCAAUGGCAACUCCUGACCCUCAUUUUCAAGACCUCAUCAUGGAUUAGGUCAGCUCCUGGCACAUGGCAGAGUACUGUCACAAUGCGCCCUGUCCGACAACACUAGACGGUCAUACAAAAGUGCUGUCUACACUUUCAUUAGGUUUACUAAAGAAUUUCGUGUGGUAGACACUUUCUCUAUGGAAUUUUUAGUAGCUUUCACUUCCUUAAGCCACCUAAAAUCUUAUGACACAAUCAAACUGUAUCUCACAGGGUUACAAAAUCACAUGCUGUCAACUAUAUCCAAACAAACAAACAUUCUUAUCCUCAUAUCAAAUUAAAACAGUAUUUAGAGGAAUACAGAGAUGCAGCACACCACAAACACCUCAGAGAUUACCAAUCAUUGGGAACUUAUUCAGGUCUCUAUCGGAUAUCUUGGACACUUCACCAUUUGAACCACAGACUAAUCACACUUUUAAAACCGCCAUAUACUUUUUAAAAAAAUUUUUAUUUUAUUUUACAAACAAGAAAAAAAUACAGACAAUAUAUGCGUUAAGAUUUCCUCAUAUGGUAGAAGUAUCAAAUAAUGCGCAUAUAUAAAGUAAAAAUGACAAACAAUAAGUACAGCUGUUGGCGAAUGACUGUUACCAUUGAUCAUAUCCUUGUUAGUGCUACAGCCGUAAUCAAAAAUACACACAUUUAAAAUGAAUAGGAUGUUUUUGGCAUGGAGACCAUCUCUAAGUAUCCUACAGAUCGGGGCAUCGUAAUUCGGGGCAUCAUUAAAAAAAAAAAAAAAUAUCCUUUCUCUUUCCCUUUCCUUCCCCUUUUUGCUUUCUCUUUUUUAACCAGUUUCCUGACUUCUGAAAUCCUAAAAUCUUUAGAUAUUACCCUGGUUUUGUUUCGUUAGCCAUUGAUUACAAAUUCUGUUAUAUUGGAAUUGUUUCUGUCUAGCUAAGUAAUACCCCUUUUCCAUUAAGCAUUGGUGAGAGAUCUGACUUAUAACCCUAGGCCAUUGUAUUACAUCUUGAGUUUUCCACUGCCAUGCUAUUACAAUCUUCAUUGCUAGUAAUAUUUGUAUUGUCAAGGCUUUGUUAGAAAAAUCAAGAUUGUCCAAACCUAAAUGGAAUAGGGCCGUUUCUGGCGAAAUUUGAAUUGUUGUUUCCGUCAGUUCUGAAAUGAAAGCAAAUAUUUUCCGCCAAGUACUCUUAAUGUUAUUACAAGACCACCACAUAUGAAUUAGAUUCCCUGGUUUAUUAUUACAUUUCCAGCAUAUUGGAUUUGCAGUAGCGUUAAAUUUCUGUACUUUCACUGGAUAUAAGUGCCACCUAUAUAUAAUUUUAAAAUGUAGUUUCUGUUGUGAAAGACAGUGCGUAAUCUUUCCUAUUUGAAUCCAACUAUCCCACCAUUGUUUCUUAUCUAUUUGAAUUGACAUUUCCUUUCCCCAUACCUCUAGAGCUUUAUAUUUUAUUGUAGGUAGGCUAAAUUAUAACAAAUCGUACCAAGCUCUUAAGAUUUUUUUUUUGUUUGUUUGAGUUUUUGCUUAUUAGUUUGUCGAAUUGAUCUUUUAUUUUUUUUUCCAGGUUUCUGAUCAAAUUGGAACUUAAAUAAUAUUUGAUUCUAAUUAUGGAAAAAUUCUCAUUCAUUGUACUUCCAUACUCUUGUUGAAGUUGCCUAAAAGACUUGAGGUUAUUUUUAAGAUAUAGAUCUUGAAUUCUUAGAUUUUUUUCUUGAAGGCUUACUGGCAGCAGGAAAUCUAUAAUAUUGUAUUCCAAAAUUUCUAGUGGAGAAGUCAUUGCACAUUUAUCCAAGAUUCGCAACUUUUUCUUAAAUUGAGACCAAUCUUUCAUAAUAUUAGACAAGACCAAGGAGUUAGCUUUCAGCAAAAUUUACUUAUACUUGCCUUUUACGGGUUUCUUAGACCUAGGGAGUUCACGACCAUCAACACUUCUGAAAUAGGGUCAUGCCUUAAAAUAUCACAACUCAUUAAACACGAAGACCACUAUGUGCUCUCUCUGCAACACACCAAGACCAGUCAAUCGGGUCAAAUCCCUUAUUACCCCACGUUUAAUAAAUGGUGUCCAGUGAAAUCAUUAGAUAUAUAUCUUGGCCACAUUCAAUUACCUCCCAGUCAACCUUUACUUAUCUUACAUGGGACCAUUCUCACUACAAGCAAGUUCACGCUUUAUAUCAGAAUCCUACUAAUGAGACUAGGUUUUAAUCCCAUACAUUAUUCCAGACACUCCUUCCGUAUAGGUGCGGCUUAAACAGCCUCCAAUAGGAACAUUCCAGCCCAUGUUAUCAAAUCAUUGGGGCGCUGGAAGUCAACAGCCUACUGCCGAUACAUCCGUCAAUCAAAGAGAGAGAGAUAAGACAAGCAUUCCAACACUUUCCAGCAUUUUAAGGUUUUAUGUUGUGAUAAUGUUGGUGACUGUUGAAUGAAUAAAUUAUUUUGGCACAUUCCUUUUUUGCCCACUUUAUUUAAAGGCCUACUGAUACGUCAGUUUCGGCACACCACAACCGAAUGUUGUAUAAAUUUACAGGUAUGGUAGGUGUCAAGUACAAGAUACGGCUUCUUGUUGCCCUGUGCACAAAUUUAAAAGGUGGAGCCUGGAGUUGUGGGAGGGGCUAGUGCUGAUAAAAGAGCUCCCCCGUCAUCUCCAGACUCCUCCUCUGUAUCGCACAGUUCGUGUCCCUCCCACCACUCCCACUUUUAUUUAAUUAUUUUAUUUUAUACUUUUUUUUUUUUUUUCUUCUUACAACCUUCCUUGGUGGGCCCACUUUAUUUACAGCCCUACUGAUAUAUUGGUUUCGUCAUACCACAACCGAAUGUUGUAUAUCUCUACAGGUAUGGUAAGGUGUCAAGUACAUGAUACAGCUUCUUGUUGCCCCGUGCACAAAUAUAUUUAUAUAUAAAUAUUCUACAUGUAUAUUUAUGUAAUCGUUUCACAUAAUUAUGUGAUUUUAUUAACUAUAAUUUGAGGGACCUGCCUGACAACCCUGGCAGAAAGUCCGUGUAACUUCCCAAAACACUAUAAAACUUGGACAUGGGUGGUACUGUUGUACUCGUGAGACAUUGCUAAAUAUGAGUGUUUUAGAGCAGUAUAACACAUAAUGCUGAUGACAUCAUUGUUGAAAGUGCAGCUUGUUUGUGAAAAAUACAAAAAAUAAAUAUGAAUGCUAACUUUGGCAAGGGUUUGUGACUAAGUGACUACUAAAAAAAGACUGGCCAUACCUCAUUUUGAAUACCUUGAGUUGUCUACUUUUGCAAAUGCUAUGCCAUGAGGGGCAUAAAACUAACAUGGGGAAAGCCCUAUAUUUGACCCUGUACGUUUCCAAAACCCCAUAAAACCUAUACAUGGUGAGGGGUACUGUUGUCCUUGUGAGACAUGGCUGAACACAAAUCUGUGUGUUUUUUUGCAGUAAAAGCUAACAGUAUUAUGACAUUCACAGCAAAAAUGCCAUGCAGAACAAAAAAAAAAAAAAUAAUAAAAUGUCUUUGUUUAUCACUUUUUUUUUUUUUUUAGAUUUUAUUCAUUUUAAAUUAUGUUUCAUAUAUAAAUAUUUGAUGUGAAAUGAAAACCAUGUUUCUCCUGAACAAAUUGAUAUAUAAUAAAUGUGGCUGCACAAUAUGAAAGAGGUAAAUUAUGGAUGAACAGACAUAUUGUCAAAUUCCACGUUUUGUUUUGAUCAGAACUUGCACAAUUGCUUCCAUCCUUUUUUUCUGUUUGUUUUUUGAACGCUAUAGUGUUCCUGUAACAAAUAUGGUUUAUAAUCACAUGUUACAGGGAGCAUCAAAAAAUGUGUAUUAUUUCUAAUAAGGUCUGGAAUCCAUGGGAUGUUUAUUAUGAGGACAAGAAAAUACUAAUAUUACAACUAUAUAUUCUGUUGUAUGCUCUUCCAACUCUAUUGUUCAAUGCAGCUGUGUCAUAACAUGUUUAUUAAAUCUAGGGGCAUCCUCAGUCUUUCUUAUUAUAUAUAUUUGGCUGUCUCCCUUUCUCAAUCUCUUAGCUCUCUACACAUAUUGGUUUGAUUGAAAAUAAUUUGUGUCACUCCAGCAGUGAAUAUUAGUAGCUGAGACCUUUCAUUUCAUUCUUGUCGUACAAUUUCUAUACGCUCUACGAUGUAUAAUGCAUGCUUUCUAAGAAAACAGAAAAAGAUUAGCAGGUUUGCAGUUAGUUUCUUCUGUGCUAUGAAUCUGCGUACAUCUUUGCACUCUUACCAAAUGCUAUAUAUCCUGGGGAAAACAGUACAUUCAACCCUUGCGCUUUUUGUCAAUAACAAUCCUUUUAGCAAUAUUAUUUUUAAGGUGUGUGGAAUGUACAAGAUUAGCAUAUUUUCUUUACCGCAAAAGAAUGUAAGAAUCUAAAGAAAAUGACAAAUACAUUGAACCAUACAAUAUGGAUGCCCUGUGCACAUACUUUGUUAUAACACCUGGCCUAGAGAAGACGCCCUUGAGAAUUUGCUGACAAUCUAUUCACUACUUUUAAGGUCAAAAUGGAUUCCUAAAUAAUGCCUAUAAUAAAAAAGGUAACAGUUUAACACUAUCUACACACCAUGAGACAGCAGGGAAUUGUCACAUUUGAGGUGUGAAAGGCAAGAAAACCUGUCUGUUGAAAAUGCAUGUCCUGUAUUAAUUUUCCAUUGAAAAACAUGUUUUCUGACCUCCCAGCCAGUACCACAAGCAUUCCAGAGUCAUAAACUAGUAUAGAGGUCCCUUGUCUAUCUCACACCUGGACUCAAUCAAAGCUAGACCAUGAGAGUGAUUAAUGCAUUCCAUGUUUACAUGUGAUUAGGCCUCUUUUAUUGCUUGCAUUGUAAGUGAAUGCAAUGUGUUUUAAAUAGCCAUGUCUGUCUUCUGAUUGCAUUGACUGUGUGCAAGUGAAGAGACAACAAUUCAAAUCUGCAUACUUUGCAUUCUGCUUUACAAUUGAUGGAUUCUAUUUCCACUGGAAACCAAAUUUUGUCCAAGUGUGAAUUAUUGUUUAUAUAUUGUUAUCCUUCUAGUCUUUUAGUCUAGUCUUUCUCACACCCUAUGAGGUGAUGUCACAGCCUGACUUUCAUAUUACUGCAGCUAGAUGGAUUGCUGGCUCAGAAAGUAUGUGGUAUAGAAUAGUGAUGGCUGACCAAUUUGUAAAACCAGACAUUUGUUUGCCAUGAUGGCGGGGGCGUACCUAAAGCAUUUGGCACCCGGGGCGGGUCCUAUGUUUGGCACCCUCCCUUCUCCCCCCCACUUUAAAAUGUAAAAAACAAUUGCACUUUAAAAAAAAAUGUAUUUAGCACUGAGCCUUGUUUGAAUGUUCGCAUGUUUUUGUAUUGAGUAUGUUUGAGUGACUGUAGGGGUGUGUUUGUAUGUAGUGUUGGCGUUUGAAUGCAAGCAAGCAUUUGUGUGUUGUGUGGUAUUUGAAUGCAGUGGUGUGGUUAUACAUAAUGGUGGGGUUUGUAUGUAGUGCUGACGUUGAAAUGCAGGGAGUAUUUGUGUGUAGUGUUGGCGAGAUUCUGAGAUGUAUGCACAUAUACACACUAACACACGUGCAGAUACAUAGACACUCAGACACACAUGCAGACACAGAGGCGACUCUAGGAACAAUAUAUGGGGGUGGGUACAUAAGAUACCACAGUCAAAACUGGGGGGCACUAAAACUUUUCACUAGGGGAUGGGGUAACAUAGAAACAUAGAAACAUAGAAUGUGACGGCAGAUAAGAACCAUUCGACCCAUCUAGUCUGCCCAAUUUUCUAAAUACUUCCAUUAGUCCCUAGCCUUAUCUUAUAGUUAGGAUAGACUUAUGCCUAUCCCACGCAUGCUUAAACUCCUUUACUGUGUUAACCUCUACCACUUCAGCUGGAAGGCUAUUCCAUGCAUCCACUACCCUCUCAGUAAAGUAAUACUUUCUGAUAUUAUUUUUAAACCUUUGUCCCUCUAAUUUAAGACCUCUUGUUGUGGUAGUUUUUCUUCUUUUAAAUAUAGUCUCCUCCUUUACUGUGUUGAUUCCCUUUAUAUAUUUAAAUGUUUCUAUCAUAUCCCCCCUGUCUCGUCUUUCUUCCAAGCUAUACAUGUUAAGAUCCUUUAACCUUUCCUGGUAAGUUUUACCCCGCAAUCCAUGAACCAGUUUAAUAGCCCUUCUCUGAACCCUCUCUAAGGUAUCAAUAUCCUUCUGAAGAUACGGUCUCCAGUACUGUGUACAAUACUCCAAGUGAGGUCUCACCAGUGUUCUGUACAAUGGCAUGAGCACUUCCCUCUUUCUACUGCUUAUAUCUCUCCCUAUACAACCAAGCAUUCUGCUAGCAUUUCCUGCUGCUCUAUUACAUUGUCUGCCUACCUUUAAGUCAUCAGAAAUAAUCACCCCUAAAUCCCUUUCCUCAAUUGUUGAGGUUAGGACUCUAUCAAAUAUUCUGUACUCUGCCCUUGGGUUUUUACGUCCAAGAUGCAUUAUCUUGCACUUUUCCACAUUAAAUGUCAGUUGCCACAAUUCUGACCAUUUUUCUAGUUUACCUAAAUCAUUUGCCAUUUGGCUUAUCCCUCCUGGAACAUCAACCCUGUUACAUAUCUUAGUAUCAUCAGCAAAAAGACAUACCUUACCAUCAAGACCUUCUGCAAUAUCACUAAUAAAAAUAUUAAAGAGAAUGGGUCCAAGUACAGAUCCCUGAGGUACCCCACUGGUGACAAGUCCACGCUUCGAAUAUAUUCCAUUAACUACAACCCUCUGUUGCCUGUCAAUCAGCCACUGCCUUACCCAUUCAACAAUAUUGGAAUCCAAACUUAAAGCCUUCUAUGUGCAACAGUGUCAAAAGCCUUACUGAAAUCUAGGUAAGCAAUGUCUACUGCACCACCCUGAUCUAUAAUUUUAGUUACCCAAUCAAACAAAUCAAUAAGAUUAGUUUGGCAUGAUCUCCCUGAAGUAAAUCCAUGUUGUCUCUGAUCUUGAAAUCCAUGUGUUUUUAGAUGUUCAACAAUCCUAUCCUUUAACAUGGUUUUCAUCACUUUCCCCACUACUGAAGUAAGGCUUACUGGCCUAUAGUUGCCCGACUCCUCCCUAUUAUAUGCUGCCAUUGGCUGUCUGAUGCCAGCAUGCUAUGCAUGCUGGCAUCUGGCAACACAUUUUAAUAGAAAUCACAUUAGCCACCCAGAUUUCUUGUUGUAGGCUGGCUGACACCUCUUAACUUCGAUCUUUUUUUUAUCAGAUAACUCCCCUAUUUCAUAUCCUUAUAUGGGAUAGCCAUAUUUAAGGACGCCAUAUAAGGGAGUUAUCUGCUAAACAGCACCCUAAUUCAGUAUCUUUAAUUAUGGAAAUGUCACAUAAGGGCACCAAUUUAGGGAAUCAUCUACUAAACAGCUAAAAGUUCAUUAUUAAAAACACAUACACAGUUAUAUACACACACAAUAGCACUAUAGAUGUGUGUGUGUGUACAUCUGUGAUGGUUUUAUGUGUGUGCGCGCGCGCGUGUAUAUAUAUGUAUAUAUAUAUAUAUAUAUAUAUACACACACACACACACACACACACAAUCACAGACCCACACAUACAAUCCCAGACCUAAACACACAAUCACAUACAUAAACACACAUAUUCACAACACACACUUAACCACAGAGAUGCACACACAAUAACAAUCACAGUCCCACACACAUACAAUAACAGACACACAAUCACAUACACAUAUGAUUAGAUGUACACACACACAAUCAUCACAUACAUACACACAUUUAAUAAGAGGUCCACCCAACCUUUUCUACCUUGCUCUGGGAGUGCUGGAGUGGAGGACUGGUGGUCAGUGGUUGCUGCUGGGAUCUCUGUUCUUCCUGCACAGGUCCCUCACGUGCUCUGUGUGACGGACCGCCUGGCACCCCGACCAGGUGCCUCCGUCACUCGACGUUCCUAGUGCUCACGGAGGACUCUAAGCACUCCACCAGACACCAUCAACACUGCAGUCCCCACGUCCAGCGUUACAGCUUGGCUGGGAACUCAUAGUCCUCCACCCACCCUGGACCCAAAACCAGGAUCCAGCUUCCAGUGGGUGAACCUCUCCUACUCCAGAGAGUGUAGCAGGAACAGCUCUUAAAAGAGCUAGUGAUUAUAAUCCCAGGGGAGUAUAGUGAUAUGGCAAUCCCCAGGGUAGAUACAGACUUUUCCCCCCACACAUGAGAUAAGACUCUAUGUUGAGGGUAAAACACUGGCCUUUUAUGCAAGUUUUCUAACAAGGGUUACACCCACGUGGACCUUGUUGGUUAACAAACCAAUAAAAACAGUAAUUAAAUGUACAACACUCCCAUUACAAGCAUACAAUCCCUCCCCUCUGCCUGUGAGUUAAUUGAGUCAGAUACUGUAUUAACCCAAUUAUCUCCAGGCAGAAAAACACACAUUUUUACAAAUUCUCAUAAGUACCCCAAAACACAACAUAUCCCCUGAUAGCACUGAUCUGGGUGAACAACAUAUCCAAAAAUCACCCAUAUCAGAUCAGGGGUUCAGAAAUUCUAUGGAAGUCCUAGUUUUGCCCAGGCGCAGGCAGGUUUUCAUGCCCAAAACAGUUCCAUAGAAUCGCAGCUAAGUGCCGCUGGAGGACCGACCGGGAACCGUGAGGUUUUCAUGCCGAAAAUAGGUCCAGGGCAUUUGCGGCUAAGUACCCCAGAAAUCUAUUCGUGGUUCUGGUCCAUGCGAACAAGAUGGCCGCCACCACGUGUUCGAAUGGCAGCCACUUCGACUGUUCGGGAGUUUGAAGUGCCACUUCGUAAGUUUGAACUGUGGCCUUAAAAAUUCAAAAAGGCACGAAUAGUGAUUUAAACCAAGUUUUAUCACAGGGGCCACAGUCACAGGGUAGGCCACUCCAAAAUCCAGUGGCGAGGUCACUUUCGCCACACUCUGUAAUAAUGCCGAUGCCGGGAUGACGUGAUAUCCCUGUCACGGGUGGCGGUAUGGAAACUGGGACCCCUGAGUGCCUGAUGAGAAGAUGAGCGGAGUCUUCAGCGAGGUAAUGGACUAUCAGGUAGUGCAGGGUAACCACACGUCCCCUGCUGUUGAGCACCAGCGUUUGUGCAGCCACAAACCAGAACCCUGAUGCAGCUACAGCGCAUCCCAGGACCUUGAUAUGCAGACCUCCCAGGAACUGGAUAGGGGGGCUCUGCAGCAGACAUGUAUCCAGUACAGAAACAAGGCAAGGCUAGGAUAGUCACCAAACAUGAAAACAAGACAGAACUAAUAGAACCCAGAACAGGACAGAAAGCAAAACCCAGAACACGUACACAAGACAUGAGGAAAACAAGAACAGGGCAGGACAGGACUGUUCAUGAACUGGGAUUACAAAAUAAAACAAGACAAGAUAUGAUAGGCAAAACAAGAGGAGACAUAACUAAGCACUAUAUAUGAAAAGUAUGGGGAUUUAGUUACAUUACAUGAUCAUACAUUGCAUAAGCCUGCCACAACGCCAAUGUACCCCAUAUUCAGCAGGUCCUACACUGCCUAAUGUUCGCUAAAAGAACCAUACUAAACCACAAUAGCACUUACCUGCAAUAAAGGGCAGAGGCUUGAAACACUGCUGCAAGUCCAGACUGAAACAAAAGGAAUGAUGGAAAACAAACGGGUGUGGCAACAUAAAACAAACAUUUAAAGGAAACCUGGACACUGGGAAUUCCAGGGACGGAUUACAGGAAUGAACCCAGAAAAACCCAGCAUAAAGAAAACCAGACAUAGAACAGAAAACCAAAAAAACAAGAAAAACUAAACAAGAAUUGUAAAAAGAAUACUGGAUCAGAAGCCAUCACCAGACUGAUCCGCAGAACAAGGCAUGAUGUGACAAUCCCAACUUCCGGCUGUUGCGGUCACCGGCCCGCCGCGUGGCAAGGCUGUGCCCGACCGACACAGCCUCGUUGACAGCACGAGCUUACCUGCUCGUCGGCGAGCCGGCAACCGCUCCCCCAGGUCUUCCGGGCGUCGCACCCAAAUUAAAGAUGGCGCUGACGCGUGGUAGCGUCCUUAUGUAGCUCCGCCCCCGAAAAUUAUAAUAACGUGCGCGUGACGUCACAACGUCAACACACACGCACGUUUUGGGUUCAGAGGUCGCCCUCUGACCAAUCAGAGCAUAGAGAGAGAUAUUUAAAUCCCUAGCUCUUCCCAGUACCUUGCCCUGUCGUGGUUUCCUGUUCCUGGUUUCCUGGGAGUGCUUUAUCUUUGUGAAUCUGAUUCCCUAGUAUCCUGAUCUUGGCUUUUCCCUGGUUAUUCUGAAUUCUGGUUUCCCUGACUUGGCUUGUGUAAACGGUAUUGUGUAUUUUCUGGCUUCCUUGACCUCGGCUUUCCCUUUGACCAUUCUCUGUCUCUAGCGUAUUAGUCCGGCCAUUCUAAGGUCCGGUUUACGCUCUGUCCUUUUAUUUUCCUUUUCCUUCUUAUGUAUAUGUUUAUAUAGUUUCUGCGUGCUGGACCACACUAGUAGUCGUGACACCAGCUCACUGCAGGGCGAAGACAGUCAGACACAGUCAGAUGCACACAGUUAUGCACAUAUACUGUCAAAUACAAUCACUCGCACACAGUCAAACACACAGUUACAGGCAAACUGUCACACACAGUUACACACACACACCUACAGGUAGACAGUCACACACACACAGUUACAGGCAGUAGUACGCACAAUUACAGGAGAUAUGUUUGCAUCCUGGUCGCCAGGACUUUUGUGAGCAAUUUGACGUCAACGUUUAGAAGCGAGAUUGGGCGGUAGCUGUCACAGGAUUUGGGGUCCUUAUCAUGUUUCAGGACGACGGUGAUCUAUUUAGGCAUUCGGCAUGGAGUGUCCCUCCGUCUGCUAACUUGUUCAGGGCGGUCUUCAGUCUGGGUGUGAGGAUGUGUGUGAAGGUCUUGUAGUGUCCUAUUGAUAGUCCAUCUGGGCCUUACCAGCUUUGGCAGUUUUGAUUGCAGCCAGAAGCUCCUCUUCCCCUAUGGGAGAGUCGAGCCUGUCUGCCACAUCUCUGGGGAUUCCGCCAGGUGAAUAUGCCUCAAGGUAUUUCUGGAUUUUGGAAGAGUGGUCAGGUUCCGAAAUUCUGGCAGGGUCUCUUGUAGAUUUGUAGAGUGUGGCAUAGAAUUCCUGGAAUUCCUUUGCUGUAUCCUGGGGAAACAGUGAGACACCUCCUGUGGACAUUUUCAGCUUAUAUACCUGGGUGUAUUGCCGCGGCCCACACAGCAUGUUGGCUAGGAACUUUCCUCCCUUAUUGGCGUGCAUGUAGAAGAAAUCCUUGGAUCUCUGGAUGCUCCUGUAGUCUCGGUUCAUCAAGAGGUUAAUUAGGGCGCGAUGCUCGUCCAGUAGGUCUGCAUAAAUUUAUUCCAGUUAUGAUCGUUUAUGUUGUGACUCUAGGUUGUCUAUCUGUGCUGACAGGUUGGUCAAUUGUUACACCGCUUCCCUUUUCUUCUUGGUGGCUAAACCAAUCAGGCAGCCCCUGAUGACGCUCUUGUGUGCUUCCCACAGAGUAGUGGGCGAUAUCGCGACAGUGUCAAUCUCCUCGAAGUAGAGGGAUAUGGUUUGCAUUACUUGUUCUUUAAUUGCAGGAGUAUCUAACUCAGUUUCCUAUACAAGUGAUAGAGUGAUAGAGAAUACACAGCUUUGAGAGGGUGUACUUUAGCACAAUCACAUAUCUCUAUAUAUAAUAUCAUUACUGUAUAGAAAACAGAGUGAGAUUCUCUAUCACUUGUAUAGGAAACUAAGUAAGAUUCUCCAUCACCAUUUAUAUGUCAGUACCCGAACCAAUUUCCAGAUAUCUUCUCUUCUAAUCUAGAUAAGUGUUUUUAAUUUCAAUAUAUUCAACUAGCAAUGUGGAUUAUUGCAUUUUUAUACAUUUGCUGGUUUUUGUUACCAUUAGAAUAUAUGCUCUGAACCCUUGUAUUCAUAUUUGCACUAGUAUCAUGUGAUAGAGUAAUAUGGUUAAUACACUAUAAUGGUAUACUUUGAAUCAGCCCAACCUAAUUUGAAUAAGAUGGUCUAUGUUUCCGAUGAAACUAUUUUUUGUAUAUGCAUAUAGACACCGCGAUUUUCGCGGAAGUAACAUACAAUCAAUCCCCAGGUGGAACGCACACACCGUCCAGCAUGCUUUCCAGUGACACCUAUUGUGCGACCCGGAAGUGGAACGCAUGCAGCAUUAUGUGUUCCAAGUGCGAACAGCCGAACCUGGAAGUACACAGAAGAGGGAAUUUAAAAAGACGCCAAGGAGGCUCCACCAGAAGAUACCAACUGAGGAAGCCCCCACCACAGGGUGAAACGCAUUUUGGAUCAAUCUAGCCAUCAGGCAAUAUUCACACAGAUCUUUUAAGUCAAAUUUGG